UACGGGGGGGGCAAGCGUUGUUCGGAAUUACUGGGCGUAAAGGGCGCGUAGGCGGCCUGCUAAGUCGGACGUGAAAUCCCCCGGCUCAACCGGGGAACUGCGUCCGAUACUGGUGGGCUCGAAUCCGGGAGAGGGAUGUGGAAUUCCAGGUGUAGCGGUGAAAUGCGUAGAUAUCUGGAGGAACACCGGUGGCGAAGGCGGCAUCCUGGACCGGCAUUGACGCUGAGGCGCGAAAGCUAGGGGAGCGAACAGG
rnacentral:rRNA from 1 species